AUGAAAAAAUCCAUAAAAAAUAUUAAGAAUCCUAUACAUAUCAAACAUUAACAUGGAGCAAUAAGAAAAUUAAAACUAGCAACUGAAAAACAUAAAAAAAAAAAUCACUAACUUGAUUGCAAUGUAGAAUAACUAGAAAAAAUGACUAAAAGGUAAAAAUACAUUAAAAAUACCAAACCUACUCAUAAAAUUAUCAAAUUUUAUCACAUGAUAGUGUGAGAAAGGGGGAUAUGAGGCGAAAUAUCAUUCGCUAGAAUUAUAUAAAAUGCACUAGGUAAUGCCUAGGAAAGAUAGUGGAGUCACAAUGGUCUCGCUUAAGUACCACCUACUUAGACAGCAUUUUUUAGAUAUGCACUUCAUAGAAUCCUAAUAGAAUCAAACCACCGAUAAGUACUGUCUUCUCAUAACACUACCACGGCACUAAAGAUUUAUGCCAAGAAGGCAUAAAAAGACAGGAGUCACCACCCGGGUAAUAACCAGGACAUAUUCAGUAUUUCUUCCGAGAGUCAUGGAUGGCAACUUACUCCUUACAGAGUUUCCAUAACUGUCAUUACCAUAACCCAAUGUCUAGGUUCGGGAUAGU
rnacentral:misc_RNA from 1 species